GUGCUUGCUUCAGCAGCACAUGUACUAAAACUGGAAUGAUACAAAGAAGAUUAGCAUGGCCCCUGUGCAAAUUCAUGAAGGUUGAUUUUUGCAGUUACAAUACAUGCAUUU